rnacentral:rRNA from 1 species
AUUGAACGCUGGCGGCAUGCCUUACACAUGCAAGUCGAACGGUAACAGGUCUUCGGAUGCUGACGAGUGGCGAACGGGUGAGUAAUACGUCGGAACGUGCCCGAUCGUGGGGGAUAACGGAGCGAAAGCUUUGCUAAUACCGCAUAAGAUCUACGGAUGAAAGCAGGGGACCGCAAGGCCUUGCGCGAACGGAGCGGCCGAUGGCAGAUUAGGUAGUUGGUGGGAUAAAAGCUUACCAAGCCGACGAUCUGUAGCUGGUCUGAGAGGACGACCAGCCACACUGGGACUGAGACACGGCCCAGACUCCUACGGGAGGCAGCAGUGGGGAAUUUUGGGCAAUGGGCGCAAGCCUGAUCCAGCCAUGCCGCGUGCAGGAUGAAGGCCUUCGGGUUGUAAACUGCUUUUGUACGGAACGAAAAGACUCUUUCUAAUAAAGAGGGUCCAUGACGGUACCGUAAGAAUAAGCACCGGCUAACUACGUGCCAGCAGCCGCCGUAAGAC